GUGCUCACUUCAGCAGCACAUAUACAAAAAUUGGAACUAUACAGAGAAGAUUAGCAUGGCCCCAUGCAAGGAUGACACACAAAUUCAUGAAGCAUUCCAUGUUUUU
rnacentral:snRNA from 1 species